GAUCUAAACCACUGGCUCCGGCUGCUGGCAUGAUCUAAAAGUCGAUCAAGCAUAGAAAACCCGUCAUGGGCUCUUGCUUGAUCGCCGUAUAGGGAAACCUAUACGUCCGGCGAAAGCCGGA
rnacentral:sRNA from 1 species